rnacentral:rRNA from 1 species
UACAGAGGGGGCAAGCGUUAUUCGGAAUUAUUGGGCGUAAAGGGCGCGUAGGCGGCUUUGCAAGUGACGGGUGAAAUCCCUCGGCUUAACCGAGGAACUGCCUGUCAAACUGCAUGGCUUGAGACCGGGAGAGGUGAGUGGAAUUCCCAGUGUAGCGGUGAAAUGCGUAGAUAUUGGGAGGAACACCCGUGGCGAAGGCGGCUCUCUGGGACGGUACUGACGCUGAGACGCGAAAGCGUGGGGAGCGAACAGG